GGAAUAGCUCAAAUUUGAAAUCCUACUGGUUUCCAGUAUGAAUUGUAGUUUAAAGAAACGCUUUCGAAGACAAACUAAGAUUAAGUUUCUUGGGAUGGAACAUCAUAGAGGGUGAGAAUCCCGUAUGUGUUUUAGCUUUGUUUUUAUGUGAUGCGUUUUCAAA
rnacentral:rRNA from 1 species